GCAGUCGACGAGCUUCCGUUGAAUGANGUGCUUGCACUGAUUUUAACAAUGAAGCGAGUGGCGAACUGGUGAGUAACACGUGGGAAAUCUGCCCAGAAGCAGGGGAUAACACUUGGAAACAGGUGCUAAUACCGUAUAACAACAAAAUCCGCAUGGAUUUUGUUUGAAAGGUGGCUUCGGCUAUCACUUCUGGAUGAUCCCGCGGCGUAUUAGUUAGUUGGUGAGGUAAAGGCCCACCAAGACGAUGAUACGUAGCCGACCUGAGAGGGUAAUCGGCCACAUUGGGACUGAGACACGGCCCAAACUCCUACGGGAGGCAGCAGUAGGGAAUCUUCCACAAUGGACGAAAGUCUGAUGGAGCAAUGCCGCGUGAGUGAAGAAGGGUUUCGGCUCGUAAAACUCUGUUGUUAAAGAAGAACACCUUUGAGAGUAACUGUUCAAGGGUUGACGGUAUUUAACCAGAAAGCCACGGCUAACUACGUGCCAGCAGCCGNCGGU
rnacentral:rRNA from 2 species